CCUACGGGAGGCAGCAGUGGGGAAUAUUGGGCAAUGGAGGAAACUCUGACCCAGCGACGCCGCGUGAGGGAUGAAGGCCUUCGGGUUGUAAACCUCUUUCAGUAGGGAAGAAGCGAAAGUGACGGUACCUACAGAAGAAGCACCGGCUAACUAUGUGCCAGCAGCCGCGGUAAUACAUAGGGUGCAAGCGUUGUCCGGAAUUAUUGGGCGUAAAGAGCUCGUAGGUGGUUCGAUACGUCGGAUGUGAAAAUCAGGGGCUCAACCCCUGACCUGCAUCCGAUACGGUCGAGCUAGAGUUUGGUAGGGGAGACUGGAAUUCCUGGUGUAGCGGUGGAAUGCGCAGAUAUCAGGAGGAACACCGAUGGCGAAGGCAGGUCUCUGGGCCAAUACUGACACUGAGGAGCGAAAGCGUGGGGAGCGAACAGGAUUAGAUACCCUGGUAGUCCACGCCGUAAACGGUGGGCGCUAGUUGUGCGAACCUUCCACGGUUUGUGCGACGCAGCUAACGCAUUAAGNGCCCCGCCUGGGGAGUACGAGUCGNGAAGAUAAACNCGAAAGGUAUGACGNUGAGAGNGCGAGCGACGACGAGGAGAGG
rnacentral:rRNA from 1 species